UGGCUCAGGAUGAACGCUAGCGGCAGGCCUAAUACAUGCAAGACGAACGGUAAUUCCGCAGCAAUGCGGGACUAGAGUGUCGUAAGGGUGCGUAACACGUAUGCAAUCUGCCCUCAACAGGAGGAUAGCUCCCCGAAAGGGGAAUUAACACUCCAUAAGAUGAUGAACUGGCAUCAGGUUAUCAUUAAAACUGAGGUGGUUGAGGAUGAGCAUGCGCAUGAUUAGCUAGUUGGCGGGGUAACGGCCCACCAAGGCGAUGAUCAUUAGGGGAACUGAGAGGUUGAUCCCCCACACUGGCACUGAGAUACGGGCCAGACUCCUACGGGAGGCAGCAGUAGGGAAUAUUGGGACAAUGGGUGCGAGCCUGAUCCAGCCAUGCCGCGUGCA
rnacentral:rRNA from 1 species